rnacentral:rRNA from 1 species
GAUGAACGCUGGCGGCGUGCCUAACACAUGCAAGUCGAGCGAACAGACGAGGAGCUUGCUCUCCUGACGUUAGCGGCGGUCGGGUGAGUAACACGUGGAUAACCUACCUAUAAGACUGGGUUAACCUCGGGAAUCCGCAGCUAAUACCGGAUAAUAUACCGAACCGCAUGGUUCAAUAGUGUAAGACGGUUUUCCUGUCUCUAUUAGACGGAUCCGCGCCGCAUUAUCUAGUUGGUGAGGUAAAGGCUUAACAAGGCGACGAUGCGUAGCAGACCUGAGAGGGAGGUCGGCCACACUGGAACUGAGACACGGUCCAGACUCCUACGGGGGGCAGCAGUAGGGAAUCUUCCGCAAUGGGCGAGAGCCUGACGGAGCAACACCGCGUGAGUGAUGAAGGUCUUCGGAUCGUAAAACGCUGUUAUUAGGGAAAAACAAAAGUUUAAGUAUCUAUGCACGUCUUGACGGUACCAAAUCAGAAAGCCACGGCUAACUACGUG